CCCAUCGGUGUGGCGUGGAGAAAUUCACGUUCCUGCCGUGCUCUGUGUUCCCUGGGUUUCUUCAGCCCUUGUGACCGGGAAGCUGGUUUUCCUAGUUGCAGGGGGAAAGCUGCCUUCUUGGCAGGGGGCCGUAGGUACCCUGACCGAGGUCACGCAUAGCUAGCCUCCCGCUUUUGCUUCUAGCAGAAAGAUCUCAGCUAUGCGCCAACUUUAUGGGAAUGGCAGGCUCCUCCCCAGUUUGGUCCUGCGGCCGUACGGCUGAGGGAAUAUAAAUGGCAAGAGGCUAAAUAGCAGUACAAGCAAGAAGAUGCAAAUCUCUUUUUAAGGGUAUGAAUCAUCAGCUCAAACGCACCAUACAUCAGUUGUGUGAUGUUUGCAGCUUGAAGUCGAAGAAGUUGGGCUGGAAGGGACCUCCAGAGGUCAUUUAGUUCAGUCGCGCUUGAUUAGUAACUACAAUGGAAUGUUCUGUACUGGAUGUGUCUCUAAAAGUGUGACGUUACUGAAGGUCAUACAUGAAUGAGACCACUUCAAAGAAAGUUAUAAAUGUUGAAAUAUAGGUGACUCGGAGGAUUAAAAAGAUGCAUAGAUAAGGCCCAUCUCUGCACUGUUUGGGCAAAACAUGCAUUGGUUUUACAGAACAGAGGGAAAAACUAGGUUAUAGUUGUAUGUCUCCACAGCAAUUUUGAGAAUGCCACCACACGCCUGUUUGCUCCAGGUCUGCACAUGCUGAAUGCUUUAGAAAAGGUGUAUGGUUGUCAUUGGAGUGGUACCAGAUGUACACUGCCCUCAGUGUCUGAGACUGCGAUUCUAGGCAUGCUCUAAAAAGUAAGUGCAUGUCACUUUUUUGCAAGUGAUGUUUGGGGAGCAGAAGCAAGCAAGUGGCACAGUCUCAUGAUUGUCACAGAGGAGGCGUAUGCACAUCCUUAGAUUACUGACUGGCUGAAAAAAACAAGUGGCUUGCCUUUAUGUCAGUACAAUAUUAGGCUAAAAUAGGCAACAUGCUUCUCGUGAUGGUGAGUUUUACUGCACUUUAAAAAAAAAAACCAAACAAAUCCCACACACUUAAAGUCAGCUUGAUUCCUUGAGCUGAUUCUCUAAAAUCUUUGGAACAAAUGCUAAGGUACACAGGAGUACACAGUUUGUACCCACAAGUGAUGGAGUCCACAGAACAGAUAUUUUCCAGCACUCGUUAUCACUACACUGGUAUAGUGAUUGUUUUUCUUUUUUUUCCUCAUGCGAAGAAAAAGACAUAGACAUUUACUUCAAAGAGUAUUCAACUGCUGUUAAUCAUGAUCUGAGGAGUGUCUAUACCUGAUGGGUUACUCAGCACAGAUAAUCUGAGAGAGCUUUCUGGUUCACAUAUUCUUUUUCUACUACACCUAUCUGCUGGAUUACCAUACCUUGUGUAAUACCCUGGUGAGCCCCCAGAGCAACAAUUUGUUUUUUCUUGAACUCCAUCCUCAAUUCGGGUAUAGUCUAAGCCACAUAUAAUGGCUGCAUUUGGCAAUUAUAAAAUGGACCUAACCCAUCUCAACUUCUGUCAGCGCUAUGCUAUUAGGAGCCCUAAACUAACUAGAUCCUGUUAGUUUCAAGGCUGCUUUUGAGGCAAGCCAAGGCACCCAUAUUAACCAGGAAAGGAAUUUCAUAAGGUACAACUAUGUGAGUGGAGAAGCAGGCUCUGAAUAACAAUAUAACUAGCAUAUUCAUGCCACUGAUAUUCCGAGUGAUUGAUUUGGCAGUGAUGAGGCGCAAGCUGGCCAUGCUAUGGGGGAUGAAACCAUAAGGGCUUCAUGUCAUCAUGGGCUUGGGGUCAGGGAUUCCUUUUAUCUAGUCUUGCCUUCAUUUUCUGUAUAGCCAAAAGCUCACGUGAGAGACCCCUGACACCUGAUGGGGUUAACAGUUUU